GUAGGUGAACCUGCGGAAGGAUCAUUACAAAUCACGCGAGUCCGUCAGAGCAAAGAGCGAAAGUUUUUGGUUCUGAUGGGAUGAGCACAUUGGCACAAGACUGCAAAGUCUUGAUGUUUACGCUUGUUUGUUUGACAAAGUAAAUUGUGACUAAAAAUAUAGACAACUUUUAACAAUGGAUCUCUUGGCUCUUGCAUCGAUGAAGAACGCAGCAUCUGACUGACUGGAAGCUUGUCUAUCUCGUAUGCCG
rnacentral:misc_RNA from 1 species